CCUACGGGGUGCAGCAGUGGGGAAUAUUGGACAAUGGGCGAAAGCCUGAUCCAGCCAUGCCGCGUGUGUGAAGAAGGCCUUCGGGUUGUAAAGCACUUUCAGUGGGGAAGAAAGCCUUGGGGCUAAUACCCUCGAGGAAGGACAUCACCCACAGAAGAAGCACCGGCUAACUCCGUGCCAGCAGCCGCGGUAAUACGGAGGGUGCGAGCGUUAAUCGGAAUUACUGGGCGUAAAGCGCGCGUAGGCGGUCUGAUAAGCCGGUUGUGAAAGCCCCGGGCUCAACCUGGGAACGGCAUCCGGAGCGGAAAGGCUAGGGGGCAGGAGAGAGAGGAGAAAUCCCGGGGGUCGGGGGAAAAGGGGUAGGGAAGGGGGGGAAUACGAGGGGAGAAGGGGGCCUUCUGGACUGCCACUGCCCCUGGGGUGCGAAGGUGUGGGUGGCAAACGGAAUUAAAUCCCUUUUAGUC
rnacentral:rRNA from 1 species